GAUGAAGAACGCAGCGAAAUGCGAUACGUAAUGUGAAUUGCAGAAUUCAGUGAAUCAUCGAAUCUUUGAACGCAUAUUGCGCUCUCUGGUAUUCCGGAGAGCAUGCUUGUUUGAGUAUCAGUAAACACCUUAACUCCCUUUUCUUUUUUGAAAUUGGAGCUGGACUUGAGUGAUCCCAACGCUUUCUUCCAAGAAAGUGGCGGGUUGCUUGAAAUGCAGGUGCAGCUGAACUUUUCUCUGAGCUAUAAGCAUAUCUAUUUAGUCUGCCUAAAAAACAGAUUAUUACCUUUGCUGCAGCUAACAUAAAGGAGACUAGUUCUUGUGCUGACUGAUGCAGGAUUCACAGAGACAGCUUCGGCUGACUUUGUAAACUCGAUCUCAAAUCAAGUAAGACUACCCGCUGAACUUAAGCAUAUCAAUAAGCGGAGGA
rnacentral:misc_RNA from 1 species